rnacentral:rRNA from 1 species
AUACUGGGCCUUCUCAGGUCUGGUAAUUGGAAUGAGUACAAUUUAAAUCCCUUAACGAGGAUCCAUUGGGGCAAGUCUGGUGCCAGCAGCCGCGGUAAUUCCAGCUCCAAUAGCGUAUAUUAAAAUUGUUGCAGUUAAAAAGCUCGUAGUUGGAUUUCUGGUACGGCGCACUUGGCCCGCCACGGUUACGUGGUUGUGUGCCGGUGUGCGCCUGCCAUCCAUCUGGAGAACGGCAUCGCCCUUUACUGGGUGGGUGUCGGUAUCCAGAUCUUUUACUUUGAAAAAAUUAGAGUGUUUAAAGCAGGCUUGUGCUGUGAAUACAUUAGCAUGGAAUAAUAAUUUAGGACUUUGGUCUUAUUUUGUUGGUUUCUAGGACUAAAGUAAUGAUUGAUAGGGACAGUUGGGGGUGCUAGUAUUCAGCGGCCAGAGGUGAAAUUCUUGGAUUCGCAGAAGACUAACUUAUGCGAAAGCAUUCACCAAGGAUGUCUUCUUUAAUCAAGAACGAAAGUUGGGGGAUCGAAGACGAUCAGAUACCGUCGUAGUCUCAACCAUAAACUAUGCCGACUAGGGAUGAGUGAACGUUGCUUAUUCGACUUCAUUCGCACCUUAUGAGAAAUCAAAGUCUUUGGGUUCCGGGGGGAGUAUGGUCGCAAGGCUGAAACUUAAAGGAAUUGACGGAAGGGCACCACCAGGAGUGGAGCCUGCGGCUUAAUUUGACCCAACACGGGAAAACUUACCAGGUCCAGACAUAGUAAGGAUUGACAGAUUGAAGAUCUUUCUUGAUUCUAUGGGUGGUGGUGCAUGGCCGUUCUUAGUUGGUGGAGUGAUUGUCUGGUUAAUUCCGUUAACGAACGAGACCUCGACCUGCUAAAUAGUUUGGUGAAUCCCUCGGGAUUCAUUUACGACUUCUUAGAGGGACUAUCGGUGAUUUAGCCGAUGGAAGUUCGAGGCAAUAACAGGUCUGUGAUGCCCUUAGAUGUCCUGGGCCGCACGCGCGCUACACUGAUACGUUCAUCGAGCUUACAACCUUGGUUGAGAGGCCUGGGUAAUCUUUUUAAACCGUAUCGUGCUGGGGAUAGAUUAUUGUAAUUUUUAAUCUUCAACGAGGAAUUCCUAGUAAACGCUGGUCAUCAACCAGCAUUGAUUACGUCCCUGCCCUUUGUACACACCGCCCGUCGCUACUACCGAUUGAAUGGCUUAGUGAGCUUCAGGGAUUGUUGUAUUU